UAUUAUAUAGGUAUAUCGUCUUUGUUGACAAUGUUAACGUUGUAAUGUCACUAAAGUGUCAGGGAUGCCUUUGUGGUAGCUAGCCUAGUAGGCUAUUUAGCCUGUUGUUGUAGCCUACGGGCAGGAAAGGGCUGUUGCUUUAGCUAUGUCUGUUAAUCGCUGUUAUUAUUGUUAACUUAAGUUUAUCAGCAUUUUUCUGUAAUAACAUUUAGUUUUUUGUUGACAAGACGUCCCGGUCUACCUAACCUAAGAACAAACAAGCCUUUGACCCAGUCUCGCCUCGCUCUGUUUCUGGAAUAUUUUCGUCUUUCCAAUGUCAUGUAGAAUAAAUAUUCUAAUAAUAUGCUACAACCUUCCCCCCGUGGUCUACUCCACCAGAAACUCACUUUCUGUAGGGGCUCCCUACUUUAGUAGAAUGAUAGUAACAGCGCAUGCGAGUCACCCUAUAGCUAUCCCAGACCUACCGAAAUAUUAAUAACAUGCAAGUUAAAUAGCCAAACUUAGUCAAGACAGUUAGAGAAAGUGGACAAAGCCAGCUAGUUUUUAGUACAAAAGUCAAGAUCAUAAGGUUCUGUGGUGACUUUGACCAGAGAUCUUCUUAAGGCGUAUUUCAGUUUGAACUGUAUACUUGAGACUGUUAGCCCUAACCUGAAAAGUUGUAGGUUGAUAUGUACCUAGCUUUCAGGUCCAACUUCAUGACCAUGUAUUUGUGUCAGUCAAAUCUGAAAGGCAUAGGAUAUUGGUACGGCAGCCGUAUCCCGAUCGCGGUAGAUAUUGGUAAGGUAGUGAAUUGCGCAUACGUCUGAUUGCGUCAAUUUCAGACUUCCUGCCGUACAAAUAACAUAGUGUGGUUGGGGCACGGCAGAUUCUGUCAGUGGUGCCGUAUUGCGCUCUUGACUUGCUGUAGGUACAGCAGUUAGCUGUAUCCGUUUACCAGUUUUCUAAUCCUACUGGGGAACAGGCUUAUUUGGACCUUGGCUGAUUCGGACCAUGUACUGAUUCAUUCGGACCUUUAUCCAGGCUUAUUCGGACCUUCAUAUGAUUGGCCGAUUUUUCUAUGCAGUUUUACCUCCUGAACAGGAAUUUUAAGUAAUAUUUAUUCGGACGACUGUAAUUAACCCCCAGGGGCUCAUACUAAACACAGCGAAAUACAUUUGACGCCCCAAUUCCUGGUGGCUUUCGUAUUGGCGGGGACGAACGAUGCGGAAAGCUUAUAUAGAAAUACCCAUUGCUUUAAUAUAAAAUUACUAGUAUGGGUCCGAAUCAACCAAGGUCCGAAGAAGCCUGCAUCCUCAUACUAUGUGACCAGAGCUCGGCUUUUAGGCGGGACCAGGAUCCAUAGAGAGUGUGUCUGUAUGGAUCCUGGGCGGGACAGUUCCGCUUUUUGAACAUCUCUCCCCCUUUUUUUAAAGUUAGCAAAAUGUAACCCCCUCUCCCUUUUUUGUUUUGCUUUUGUGAGUUUUGUCCCGCUUUUUUGUGCUACAAAAACAAAACUAUCCCAAUUUUAAUGGCAUAGAGCUGAAUUUUGUUUAAUUUUGCCAUUUCACUAGCUGGUAACUUCUAUAGUCUUCUCCGACGGCUACAAUACCCAAUGAAGUGAAUUAAAAGAAUUCUGUAAAGUGUAUAAAGGCGGCCCUUUGCAACUGUCGAUGUCGGGCAGAAAUAAAGGGCCGAGAAAGUCACCAAGGUACGAUGGUAGUGUAUAUAUUUAGAUACUAUAAUCCUCUUUGAAUCUCCUCUUCGGAGUUCUUUUCAGGGCCGAUUCGAUCGUUCGUGACCUACGUAUAUACAGUUUUUUUUUAAAGUUUGAGUCUUCAUAGGUGUCUAUGGCUUUUUUCAGCUCGUUAAAGCCUGAAAACAUCUGUUUUUCGGCGAAAACUAAUGUAUUAUUCCGCGGUUCAUGCUGUUCCGUCGCCAUUUUUCUUGCUGUCGCUGAUAUGCCUUACCACACUAUGUCGUACGUAAAUGCGACACGAUGUCGCACCUACAUGCGACUAGCAGUCGACUAUUAUCUCUAUUGUACCUUUUCACACUGGCCAUGUCCGGUGCUGCACCCAGACGCGAUUGCAGUUGGCCAUUGCCUUCAAUACGUGUCUUCACACUAUGCGAUUUUUUCCUGCAUAUACGUGCGACAGCAGUAGACCUCCGCUGCUUUUGGUGAUUGGGUAUUGAAAACAUUUGAGGGAUAUAAAUGGUGUUUUUCCCGUUGCUGAAUAACCACUGGUUCCAUGCAACGAAAAAAGACCAUACAAUAAUAAUAAUAAUAAUAAUACUAAUAAUAAUAAUAAUAAUAAUAAUAAUAAUAAUAACAAUAGUGUUAUUCGUAAAUAAGAAAGAACUACAGAUAUGGAUAGCUUAAGUAUAAACUACUGAGAAAUGAUUUGCUGUUUUUUUCAUUAAGGUUACAUAUACGUUUUGAUACUGAAAUUAUUAGAAGGUUAUCGGCAGAUUAUUGAUAUAAAAGAGGACUAAUAGCUUUUGAUUUCGAUAUAUAUGAUUUUUUGAGAAGUUUUUAUAGUUAACACUUACGUUUUAUUUACAUUAAUUAAUUAAUGAAACAGAGAGAGAUAUGGAUUUUUUAUAUCAAAGUAAAAGAUUUUAGUUUUUGAAAUAGAUACAUCAGUUUAUACUUUUGAUAAAUAGAGAUAUUUCAGCUAACACUAGUUGUUUUCAUUUCUCCUUUUUAAUUUCUAUAUGGAAAAGCAAAUUUACAAGGAAAGGUCCAUAUUAUUUCCUCUUACUUGAUGGUAACUGCCAGUUGUUGUGCUGGCGAAAUAUCAUCUCUGAAUGUCGUAUUUCUUUUAGCAACUGGUCAUGUAGACGUGACAAGAGUUCCUCAAAGGUUGUUUUAGACAUUCUAAAGUAAUUGCAAAAUUUAUUAUUAUCUCUCUUCAGCUCCUCGAAAAUUGUGGCAAAUGCACCGUACAAGUGCCUUUGUGUAUUCAAAGGGUGUACCCAGUGAAUCCUAGGGUUUAUCUUCUUUUUUCUCAAAUGUAAUAAAUAAAGGCAAUUUUCUCUUCCUGUCCAUCUAGCCACCACUACAGGCUGAGAGCAGACUGCAAGCGCUUGUCAAAAAUUGGAUCACUUUGUGCAGCAAUCGGACAAAUGUACGAUUUGCGCAAUUUUGUGUCGCAUUUAGAUCCGGCACUGCAAUCGUAUCUUGGUGCUACAAGAAUCGCAUAGUGUGAAAGGGCCCUCAGGCGGAUCAGUGAUAUAAGCCAGUGCACUUUUCAAGUUAAAUGGCAUCUUAGGAAUAGAAGAAACAAAUACAGUGGAACCUCAUUUUGUGUACGUAGUCCAUUCCAGAACGUCUCACGAAUUCUGAAACGUACGAAAUCCAAAACAAUAAUUCCCUUAAGGAAUAGUGUAAAUCAAUUAGUGUGUUCCAGACAUCCAAAAAUAUAUAUUAUAGAGAAUAAAAACAGUUUUAUAUACAGGAAACAAUGAGAAAUAAAUAUAAAUGACUAAUGAAAUGGAUAAAUAAUUAACAUCACUCUUACCUUUGUUACCUUUAUGGAAGACUCUUGUUAGCGUAUGGAACGCGGAGAGGAUGGGAGAGGGAUGAGGAAAGAUUAUUGUUUGAAAGGGGAAUCCCCCUCCAGAAGGACUUCAAGUAUCAAGAACCUAUCUAGGGUUACUUUCCUUCUUUGUCUAUUACUGGCACUAGGACCAGCUUGAGACUCGCUGGACCCCUGUUGUACAAAAAACCUGUUCAGAGACAUUUGUUUCUGGUGUCUCUAAAAUUUACCUAAAGUGAAACAAAGUAUUUUCAUUAAAGAUGUUGGAUACAGGGAUUAUAAUUCUCCACAAAAUAUUUGACAUCACUCCACUUUGCAAAUGUCUUUAAUCACUGAAGUAGGCACAUUAUGUAUGCCCGUUUGCUUUCAGAAUUUUUCAAAUCAGCCUCUGCUGGCGUUGAAUUCACCUACAGCAGCAUUUGUUGUAAGCAUUUUCCUACUGAGACCGGCAUGCAACAUCCUUGCUUUUUCACAAAUUUUUGCCUCCAAGACUUUGCUAAGAGUUCUUUCUUAAAUUCUAUGGUGUUUCUUGCCUUUUUGCUUACAGAAGGGCUUGUACAUGAAACUUUCUUUGGUCGCAUGAUGAAGGUCUUUUCAAAUAACUUUCAACUGUUGUCAAUAGCAUACAGAUAUCCUAGGUUAGACUUGCCAAUUGUAAAAAAAGAACAAAUUUGAGCAAAAUUGUAUGCAAACUUUAAACAGUAAUCCAAAGAAUUUUUAACUUUAGUUAAAUCAGCCUAAAGGCUAUGUAACGACUGAAUUGUAGAUUGAAUCCUGCCGAGGAAAAUAUAGGAAGCAACCUGACCUAACAUAUUUGAUCCAAUAACUGCUUCAACUUGUGCUCUGCAUCAAGCAUUAUUGCAUAUGUUAUUAUUAAGCAAUUUUAUAUAACCUUUGCUGUUCCCUUAAUUUCAUACAUUGAAGGAGAUUCCGGCAAUUUCUUUAUUAGCUAAAUUUGACACCUAUAGCCCUAACGUACUUGGUUAAAGGAGGGGCUUGGGAGGGUGAGAGAGCGAUGCCAAAUGGACUUUCCUCUUGUGCAAAUAAGGGCUAUUGAAAAAUCACUUUUGAUUCUUUGAAAAACUGCAUUAUUUUGGACACUCCUCUCAUUAUUAAUUAAGUCAUUGUGACAGGCUUUCCUCAUGCUGCCACAUCUGCGUUUACCCUAAGGCCAUUGUGAGGAAGAACAAUUAUAAUUUUGGGUCAGCAGCCUUGGGUUAACCCUUCCCAUUAAAGGACCUUUAUGUCAACACAAGGAACAAUGGAUAUCUCGCCAAAACAAAGGAUCAGCCCUCAAGCAAAUGAAGUUAUAUAUAAUGUCUAUACAAAUAUUUUCUGCAAAUAUAUUUCUGUGAAUGAAUUACAGUGCAGACAAAUAUGUGGCUAUGAAGAAAAGUAGAUUACGUAAUCUACUUUUGUACAAUAAAAAUUUACAAUAGGAUCUACCCUGGUAUAAAAUGAUCAAUGAAUUAUAAAUAAAUGAACCCUUUAAUUUGUAAAGGUAGACCAAUGUAACUUCAAAUAAUAAAAUAAUAUAGCAAAACUAUAGCAUAAAAUAAUGAGAGAGAGAGAGAGAGAGAGAGAGAGAGAGAGAGAGAGAGAGAGAGAGAGAGAGAGAGAGAGAGAGAGAGAGAGAGAGAGAGAGAGAGAGCUCAUUCUUCAAAAUACGUUUGUGCAAUCGUUAAAUAACACCUUGACAAUAGGUAAAAUGUAAGAAAAAACAAAGAAACAAAAGAAAAAUGUGACUGAUUAAAAGAAGACAAACGAACCCAAUAAUUAAUGGAAAUGAUGUGAAUAUAAGUCAAGUCAAAAAUUAUGAAUUUACAUUCAAAGGAGGGAGAGAGUUACCUGGUGAUAGUUUAUAUUUAAAUCUAAUUUAACUUAUGAUCACAAGCCUUCAUUUAUGAUGGUAGAGUCUAAAAAGAAGAUUUAGCUCUAAACUCUGUUUAAAAAAAAAAAAAAAAAUAAAAAAAAAAAAAAAGAAGGAAA